rnacentral:rRNA from 1 species
AUUGAACGCUGGCGGCAUGCUUGACACAUGCAAGUCGAACGGCAACAGGCCUUCGGGUGCUGAUGAGUGGAGGACGGGCGAGUAAUGCAUCGGAACGCACCCAGAGGUGGGGGAUAACGCAGCGAAAGCUGUGCUAAUACCACAUGUUAUCUGAGGAUGACAGCGGGGGACCGAGCAGCAAAGUUUGGCCUCGCGCGAUUGAAGCGGCCGAUGUCGGAUUAGCUAGUUGGUGGGGCAAAGGCCUACCAAGGCGACGAUCCGUAGCCGGUCUGAGAGGACGACCCGCCCCACUGGAACUGAGACACGGCCCAGACUCCUACGGGAGGCAGCAGUGGGGAAUUUUGGACAAUGGGCGCAAGCCUGAUCCAGCCAUGCCGCGUGCGGGAAGAAGGCCUUCGGGUUGUAAACCGCUUUUGGCAGGAACGAAACGGUGUCCGCUAAUACCGGGCGCUACUGACGGUACCUGCAGAAUAAGCACCGGCUAACUUCGUG